rnacentral:lncRNA from 1 species
GCUAAUAUCAAGCUCCAGGCCCAGGAGUAAAUCAUGAUUGGUGACCCCAUUCUCUUUGCUUGUGCGUGGGUAUUCCAUGGAAUUCUACAAAGUAUUAGAAUCAAGAGCGUAAGCAUGUGUCCCAAUCUCGUCCACUUUAUGAUGUGAACUGAAGUCUUCUGGGAGAUUUCUGAAAAGAGCAGUUGCCCAUGCAACACAAGCCUAGCAAUGUUUUGGCCAACACGACAAGGAGCUCUGGAGCAAAUAUCAUCACCAAAUAUCACUUAUUCUCUAUCAGACCUUUAUAUUUCCAUCUCUCUCAGUCAUCAGAUAUAGACUGCCCUGAGUAACAUGUGACCUUUUGGAAGCCAGCUGUCUGUAGCUGAGACAAGCUAUGAAGGCGGUAACAGCUACAGGUGUCUGCUGAUUGCAUUCUCUGCAGCUGAGCGCCAAGUACUUUCUUGAAGGGAACUCUGGAUGGAGCAUCUCUGUGACCACCACAGUACAUCCCCUGUGCCUCUUGGAUCUAUU